GAAAUGCGAUAAGUAAUGUGAAUUGCAGAAUUCAGUGAAUCAUCGAAUCUUUGAACGCACAUUGCGCCCGCCAGUAUUCUGGCGGGCAUGCCUGUCCGAGCGUCAUUUCAACCAUCAAGCCCCCGGGCUUGUGUUGGGAACCUGCGGCUGCCCGCAGGCCCUGAAAACCAGUGGCGGGCUCGCUGUCACACCGAGCGUAGUAGCAAUCACCUCGCUCAGGGCGUGCUGCGGGUUCCGGCCGUUAAACAGCCUUACAAAACCCAAGGUUGACCUCGGAUCAGGUAGGAAGACCCGCUGAACUUAAGC
rnacentral:misc_RNA from 1 species